GGCACGGCUCGGCUCGGCUCGGCCAAUAAGGCCUCUCCACGUGCUUGCCACUCUGCGCCUCUUGCCACCCCCGAGCAUCUUAAGCGAGAAUCUGGGAAUGCAGUAUCUUCUGCCAAAGCAGAGUAGGGGUUUUUCAUUAUGUUUGAAGUUUGCUUUCACCCUGCUCCUGUAUUUCUGUUACGAGUGCAGAAUCUUCUAUGGCACGCAGCAGUUUUGAGGUGGUUGCAUAUCUCUUCCAUGCUGGCAGGGAGGCCCGAAGCAGCCCAGAGCUCUUGCUGUCCGUGUGUCCGGUCAUAAAAUGCCAGUGCAGCCUCAGCUAAUGCAACCUCUGUUUGCACCACCCCUUCUAAAACUGUCCUGAUGUUUCAGCCCAAGUUGUCCAGUGCCAUUGGGUAUCACUUCCGCCAUGCGGCACUCCCAUGUGACUCAGGUGGCCGGGUUACAUUGGCCCAUGUGAUGUUGACACCUGUGUGCCACUGACACCCACCCAAUGACUCCCAAGCGUGCCACUGCUGAGGCACAUCAGGGCCCCCCGCGUGUUCAGGCUGCAAACUGCUGCGUGAGGCCCUGGCUUCCUCCAAGCACCAGCGGGGACUUUUAUAAAAGCCCAAAUAAGCCUAAGUCCUCUGUUAUAUGUGGACCUCAGCCCAUACUAAAAUACCGAGUAUCUAUAUCCCUACUUAUUUUGAUGUCAUAUCCGAAACAUCUGUAAUGGCACCCACGCCGUUUGGAAAUGGGAUUUACCCACCUUGUUUGACUACACGCUCUGAAGAGAAGAGCAACAAAGCGUGCAGAAAAAAAAAAACCCUCAAACAAGCUCUGAAGCCUCCCAACAGCCAGAAGCAGAUGUAGGCGAUCUCCCCUUCUUUGUCACGUACAGCAGAAGCUUCCCACGCACCAGAAGGGACGUGGUGUGCAAGGUGCCCAGGAUGCAUCCCUUCAGAGGGUGCCAUGCCAUGGGCCACUAUAUAAACCAGACAAUUAAGUGUGGGUAACAACUGCCUGAUCAGUUCUCACCUGCGUGGCCCGAUUGCACCAGACUGUGCAUUUUUGAAGGUGAAAUUGUGAUUUUAUAAUUCCCAUCCCUUGUGAACUUCUGACACCUCAUGAGCGCUAGUAAUUAAAAAAUAACAUCCUCACACUUAUUCCACGUUGUAAAAGCGAAUUUCACACGGCUAAAAUGAAGUAAAGCGCUGCCACCGAACUGCUUUUAUAGUUAGCGAGACUCCAUUAACUGGAAAGCAACGAAGGCAAGGGAGCCACUGAUCUGGGCUGUGGUGAAAGAAACACAUACACUCCAAAGACUUUUUUGGGUAUUUUACUCCAAGGGUACAUGCAGGUGGGAUAUGGAGGGAUCAGUCACACCUGGCCUGGGGAAGUCAGCAUCCAGAACAGUCUGCACUUGGCUGAAAAUGAGACAGUUGCCAGAGCCAUGGCUCAGGACAGGCGAGUCUCACAGCAGGACUGACGUGUCCAAAAGUGCUGAUAUGAUAGUUCCAUUAAGUUCUGCAUGGAGAAGCU
ensembl:lncRNA